rfam:Scleropages formosus scaffold11759, whole genome shotgun sequence.
CUCCAGCUACGGGGAUAUGGUGCCCAAGACAAUUGCAGGGAAGAUCUUCGGCUCCAUCUGCUCACUAAGCGGGGUAUUGGUAAUAGCCCUGCCCGUUCCAGUCAUCGUUUCCAAC